AUGGCAGCAACAAGAAAGUGCUUAGGUUGAUUGAAUUUAUUUAAGCGCUGAUACAAUGCUGCCAGAACAAUUUAAAAGCCAAGAACAGUUCAGUUUAAUGGAGUUUAUAAACUGGUCUACACGUGUCCUUACAUUC
rnacentral:snoRNA from 10 species